rnacentral:rRNA from 1 species
UACGAAGGGGGCUAGCGUUGCUCGGAAUUACUGGGCGUAAAGCGUGCGCAGGCGGUUUUGUAAGUUUGUCGUGAAAUCCCCGGGCUUAACCUGGGAAUUGCGAUGAAGACUGCAAGGCUAGAAUCUGGCAGAGGGGGGUAGAAUUCCACGUGUAGCAGUGAAAUGCGUAGAGAUGUGGAGGAACACCGAUGGCGAAGGCAGCCCCCUGGGUCAAGAUUGACGCUCAUGCACGAAAGCGUGGGGAGCAAACAGG